rnacentral:rRNA from 1 species
GACGAACGCUGGCGGCGUGCCUAAUACAUGCAAGUUGAGCGAUGAAGAUUGGUGCUUGCACCAAUUUGAAGAGCAGCGAACGGGUGAGUAACGCGUGGGGAAUCUGCCUUUGAGCGGGGGACAACAUUUGGAAACGAAUGCUAAUACCGCAUAACAACUUUAAACAUAAGUUUUAAGUUUGAAAGAUGCAAUUGCAUCACUCAAAGAUGAUCCCGCGUUGUAUUAGCUAGUUGGUGAGGUAAAGGCUCACCAAGGCGAUGAUACAUAGCCGACCUGAGAGGGUGAUCGGCCACAUUGGGACUGAGACACGGCCCAAACUCCUACGGGAGGCAGCAGUAGGGAAUCUUAGGCAAUGGACGAAAGUCUGACCGAGCAACGCCGCGGGAGUGAAGAAGGUUUUCGGAUCGUAAAACUCUGUUGGUAGAGAAGAACGUUGGUGAGAGUGGAAAGCUCAUCAAGUGACGGUAACUACCCAGAAAGGGACGGCUAACUACGUG